UGCGCGCGCUCACAGGCACGUAAUCCGCGCGGGCACGCGUCUCCAGUUUGUUUGUUUAUUUAAUUAUUUUAUUUAUUUCCCAUGUGUUUUAUUGGCGUGGCAGAUAAAGUGCAUUUGUAUUGCCAAAAGGAAGUGUGGUGUAAAAACAGGAGAAAUCUAAUCUCACACUAAUAGAUUAAAAUAAACAACCAGAACAAAAAUACUGCAAAAGAUUACGUGCAGAAAUGGAGCCCAAUAUAAAGGCAUUAUAUAGAGAAUAAUUGAAAAAGAUAAGAUUAUAAUAAUUAUAAGUGCGAGGAAGAUCCCUCACUGUCCCUCAUAUUGUGGCAGGCCGAGACCUAUUGUGCUGCUAAUAUACAGCUGUCUUUAUGGUCUCUUAGUAGGAGGGGGAAUUUCUCAGUUUGGUAGAUAGUCAAGUUUGGUGUGUGUGUGUGUGUGUGUGUGUGCACGCUUAAUUUUGAUUUUGGUUUAGAAUUUUUUGUCUUUUUUCCCUGUGUCUGCCUGUUUCUACUGCUAGGGCACGUCCUCUGAGUCUGUACCUGGUCAAAGUGGUUCUCAGGUGCCAUCUGUGAGCAUCGUAUGACACGAGCUUUUUAAAUCUCUCUCGCCCUUUCGCUCUCUCGUGCCUGAGCAUGACAUCAUGCGCUCCAGAUGGUGGGACGAACAAAGAAAAAGAAGAGAUAUUACUGACGAGUGACUCAUCUGGAGUACGUUGCCUGAGUAUUACAACACAACGAGGAGUGUGUGGAUGUAGUACGGAACCUUAUAGCAUACACUCAGAUACAGAAAUAUUGGCACCCUCGGUAAGUAUGGAUAAGGGGAAAAACAGGUCUGAGGUUAAUUAGCUUGGUCUCACAUGGAAAAUAUGAGAAAUAUAACCAUGUAAUGGAAGAACAUUCAUUAAAAGCACUUAUCAUCAAUGAAUAUUUUCUACAAAAAAAAAGAGUCAUAAUUAUUGGCACCCCCGCACCCCAUCAUGCUUGAGAUACACUCUAUGGCCAAAGUUUGUGGACACCUGACCAUCAACUUUGUGUUGCCAGAAAGCUCUAUUUUCGUCUCAUAUGACUUUAGAACAUCGGCAUGAAGGUGGAGUAUAGUUGUAGAUUCAGAGACUUGUCGACCCUGAAAUGGUGCCAUCGUCUGUGAAUCUUCAACCAUGAUCCUGGGAGAAAGUUCUUCCUCUCCAACCUUCCCCAAUCUGCAUGGAAGUGAUCUUCAUCUUCUAGGCAGGUCACUGUAAUGACUUUCUCAAGUGCACUGCCCUUAUGUAACUACAUGGACAUGUUGAGCAUAGUCAGACCCUUUCAGAAGGGAUUUUAUGUUUGAACAGUGGAUUUGGGAAAUUUAUAGCUAUUGCCUGAUUUCAGAUUAUUUACUAAUCCUCACCAGAUUGAUGGCUGUGUACUACGCCUCACCUCAAAAAGACAUUUUUUUCCCCCAGGAUUCCAAUAAUUCCGAGGCAGAGGAUUGAUGCAUUAUGUAGUAUGGUAGUAAUAGUUGCUUUGGAUUCUAUACAGACUGUAGGUGUUAUAAUAAACUUUGAGGUCUUAUUGAGAUGUUGGUGAAUGUCAGUGUGAAUAUUAUAAAUCCUGAGCCUUCAUACCAUGAGACAAUAUGUAGAUAUGGAGCUCUUAUAUGACAUUCCAAACACUGGACAUUAAUUCCAACGUUAACUCCAGGAGUCUGAAUGCAUUUUGCGUCAAAGAGAAUUUCUGCAGCUGACUCCUGCCUUUUGUCUCUCUUUUGUCUAUCUAAACCUCCCCCAUCCCCCUGUUCCUCCAUCUUUUCACUUCUGCCCCCUGUUCUCGUUCACCAGAAGCCCUGAAACAGCUGUCACACAUGACCCAUGUCCUUCACCACCACCCCCCCACCCACCCCAGACUUUACCUUCAGCCAGUAGCCGAGAACAACUAAAGCCGGCAAAUUAUAUGCACUUGUGUGUAAAUGUGCACACUUCUGCAUUGUUCUUGACCCUGACCUUACAACAGAGCCUGCACUAAACACCUGCUUGUAUAUAUGUGUGUGUGCGUGUGUGUGGGGGAGCAUCCCAGCCCACAGAGAAAUGAGACAGCUAGCAGAGAUUAGUAUCCCAAAUGCUAACAAAUGUGCGCAACAGAAUUACAUCACAGAAAGCGAAUCUGGCCAAAAACUAUAACUCCUUUUGGUAUUUAUUUAUUAAAUUUUUUUUAACCAUAUAUUUGUCCAAAGAUCUUGCUGAAAUAGAACAACUACUACUACUACUACUACUACUACUAAUAAUAAUAAUAAUAAUUUGCCAUACAACUAUGAGCCAUUUUUGUAUAAAACUAAGAUGGAAAAUAAAAGAAAAUACAGCUUUGUUUAUUGAGUUUCUUUAUUGAGCUCAGUAUUUCAUGGCCAUAACUAAAAUGGAAAAGUUGACCGAGAACAAAAAAAAUCUAAAAUUUGAUUUUGCAUCACAGAAUGCAGGAUACAUGUUCAAACUCAGGUAAUGUUAAUUAAAAAAAAAUGCAAUGCUUUGUCUGUUCUAUUUCAUAGUAGUAGGCAAAAUAUCUGAGAAAAUUCAAACGAAACCACCAAACUGAUCAACCAAGAGCAAAAUCACGAACAUUAGCGCCAUCUGGAGGUCUUGGAAUUUUCGUUUCACACUCGGGUUUAUUUUUUAAAUCUGAAAUUCACGAACGACUAAAACUACUGUUGGAAAAAAAAAAAGAUUAGCCAAAACCAUCACAGGACUAUAAAAAUGUGCAGCAGUGUAGUAAUUAAAUAUAAAGACAAUUAAGCUCUGUUUAACUCAAAAAAAUUGGGGAAGACUGAAAGGGAAAAAAAAGAGAAAAAAAACAAAACAAGAUUUGUACUUCUGUGAGAACCAUUACACCUCCAUGUAGAACUAUACAGCUCUACAUUUUCACCCAGUAGGGUUUAUAGACACCUUUCAAUUCUGUAUCAUUAAAUAGCUUUAAAAAAACAAACAAAAAAAAAACCCCACCACCACACAAACAAACCAAAAAAGCAAGUUUAUGGGGGACAUUUACUUUUUCAGUAGUGCACAAUUAGUUCCCUAUCUAAGGUUGAUUGUAAAUAUUAUCCCUUGUACUUGUCAAAAGCAGGCAUCAAAAGAACAAAAACACACACAAAGAAACAUACAGGUUCAGAUAAAAUCAUUCUUUUUUUAUUAAACCUUCCAUCAUAUAUAAUUGAAAACAUUCUCAAAAAAUUCCUCAUGACCCCGUAAGCCCACCCCACCCCCAAAAAUAUAGUAGAGAAGCGAUGUUUUCAUACCGACACAUCCUCAUGUUUCUUCAUUUCUCUUUCAAUAGUUCUUACAUUCUUAUAGAUACACAUAAAUACAUAAAUACAGUUCAUCUGGAGGCCCAGCGGCUGUGUGUCUCUGAAAUGCUUUCAUACGGAGCAUGAGUGGACAAACAUGCUCAUAAAGGAACACUGCCUAAUUCCAUUCAAUCGUUAAGUCAAACCAAAUCCUCAGAAAAAAAAAAAGUGUGUGUGUGUACAGUAAAUGAGGUGUAUCAAAAAAAAAAAAAAAAAAAAAAGGGCAGAUGAAUCAGAACUUCUUAAAACAUGGCCAAUGUGUUAUGGUCUGGAUUUAAAGUGUGUACUGUAAUUUUGAAGAAGUACGGUGUCAUGGUCUACAAGCAGUGUUUCAAUAUUGUUUUUAAAAAAGCACACACCCAUUUAAGUUAAAAGUGCUCAACAGCUCCAUCACACCUCUCUUGAGUAUCCUGUCUUGUUAACCAGUUGGUGUUCAGUUAACGAGUUGCCUUGGUAAGUAAUGACUGAAUCUGGUAGAUCAUCAGAUUUGAGGUGGGAAAAAAAAUUACAGCAUUAAGUAUUUUAUAUAUUCCAAGUAUUCAGAAAAAUUCUGUUACAAAGUCGGUUGUAUUUUCCAGGCGUGGAAAAUAAAAGGAAAUUGUUGUGAUGCAACUUAAAUUUGGGGGUUUAAAAAAAGUCUGUUCAGCAUGUUAACCAAUCAUAGUCGUUUCCACCCCGAGGUUUGCUCUGAUUGG